CGACAUUUGCACAGGUGGGGAUCUAACCAUUGGUCGUUCAAGUGGUAAUUGGUGGCUUAUCCAAUAGAUUUGGUUGUUUUUCUUUGACCAAUUGUUUGAGGUAACUCGAUUAUGCAUAUUAGAUUUUGGUCGUUUUUCUUUGACCAAUUGUUUGAGUAACAAAGCUUGCAAUGGAGCUCAAUUUUUAGCUUUACGACCCCAUUGUUAUGGCUAAUGGCUUUUCACUUUCACGAGACACUCUGGAGUUGUUCGAUGAUGAAUUGCUUUGCCUUUGAUUGCCGUCCUCCUUAUAAGCCUGACACCCUGCAUCACUUUGAGGGGAUUCAUUAGGAGUAUUAUUAUCGGCAUUUUCGUUAUUUGUUGCCGCUGCAUCUUCGUUCACAACUAAGCCAAGGGAGACUCUAAAACCACAUGCACGUGAGAUGAUUCUAUACAAGAAAGUUAAGAACCAAAAGAACCAAGGGAGGCAGACCAAUGAUAAGCCUGCGACCGGUAGCCACGCGGUGUUUUCGGUCUCAGGUAGGGUAACAUACAUCAAAAGGCAUCCGCCGCCGCUGAGAACAGAGAGGAAGAGAAUGAAAGUAACGAUCCAUAUUAAUACACGUCCAACUGAUGGAUCGACCAAAGACAUUUGGUUUUAGACCUCUCAAUGGAUCAAAAGAGGGAUGAAAGCUUCAAAGCCUGAGUUAGAAAGAUGAUCUUCUUCGUGUGACCAUCUUCCAUCUUCCUCAUUUAGACACGUUAUGAAUCAAAAGCUCGUGAUAGAGUUGAACCGAAGGCAAUCAAGAUUGUUUUGUGAUCAAUUGUGAACCGAAAAAAUUUGAAGAAGUGAGAGGGAGGAUGAUCAUGAAGGGUCUUGCACGCAAAGGAUUGGUUUGAAAACUUUGUGGAGAGAUCCUCACGAGUUUCAGUUUGGAGGAACAAUAUCUACAAAAAAAUUUGGUCAUGUUUUUUUUUUAAUGGUGUUGCGCAAUUUCAGCUCUCUCAAAA